GUGACUAGAACAGAGGCCAGAAAGCACCCAGGUUCGUUUCAGCAGCUUAUGUAUUUUUUAUCUAAGCAAAGAAUUGUCCAGCUGCACUUUCAGCCCAUCUUCUAUUUCCAAGGUCUUGGUUUCUGCAGCCAGCUUCUUUCCUAUUCUUGGAAACUUUCCGGAAAGAGUCUGCAGGUUUUUACUACUCAGCCAUGCUCCUGGUGCUCAUCCCAGUCCUGGGCAUACAUUUUGUCCUGAGAGAUGCCAGAGCCCAGUCUGUGACCCAGCCUGACAGUCAUGUCACUGUCUCUGAGAAAGCCUCACUGGAGCUGAGAUGCACCUAUUCCAGUAGUUCAGCUCCUUAUCUCUUCUGGUAUGUCCAGUACCCUGGCCAAGGACUCCAGCUUCUCCUCAGGUACUAUUCUGGAGACUCCCUGGUUAAAGGCAGCAACGGCUUUGAGGCUGAAUUUAAGAAGAGUGACUCUUCCUUCCACCUGAGGAAACCGUCUGUGCACUGGACUGACACGGCUGAGUACUUCUGUGCUCUGGGUGACACAGUGCCUGGGGCUGCAGGGGGAGCUGCACACAAACCACUCAUGGCUGUGGGGUGUCAGACUCAAGAUCUUUCUGUGGUACUAAAGAGGUCUCUUGUGAUAUGAUGGUGACUGGGCAAAGAGGAAUAAGCAGAUCCAGGAACAGAAUUCUGCUUAAUUCUGCAAUUCUUGCUGAGCCCUAUAUCUGAUAAACUUUGUUUCAGAAGCUUUUUCAUCACUGUAGAAACUAUGUAUUGUCAAAUAACUAGUGUUCUGAAUCAUGGA